rnacentral:miRNA from 1 species
CAGUGGUUUUUCCCUAUGGUAG